GUGGUUGUGGCUCAGUGGUAGAGCACUCGCCUAGUACAUGAAGGCACUAGGUUCGAUCCUUAGCACCACA
rnacentral:tRNA from 1 species